ACCAAAUCGAGCUCUUUCUUCUUCACUGCACUGUUGUUUUCCGCUAGGGUUUCAGUAGUAGGUGUGUAUUGAAAAUGUCAAGAGUCUAUGUUGGAAAUCUGGACCCUAGGGUCAGUGAAAGAGAGCUUGAAGAUGAAUUCCGCAUCUUUGGAGUUAUAAGAAGUGUUUGGGUUGCAAGACGCCCCCCUGGCUACGCUUUUAUUGACUUCGAUGAUCGGCGGGAUGCACAAGAUGCAAUCAAAGAGCUGGAUGGUAAGAAUGGAUGGAGAGUGGAGCUCUCACAUAAUUCUAGAGGAGAAAG
rnacentral:misc_RNA from 1 species